rnacentral:tRNA from 1 species
GGCUUUGUAGCUCAGUAGGAUAGAGCGACGGUUUCCUAAACCGGUGGUCGCGGGUUCGACUCCCGCCAAGGCCA